AUAAAAAACCAUGUCUUCCUUUUCCGUGAUGCCCAUCUGAAGAGCUGUUCGUCUCCAAAAGCCUCUUCUAGCUCCGGGAUCGCUGCGAUGAGCUCCUCCUCUUCAAGCGAGCACCUCCAUCACUGCGCCAUCACUGAGCUCCAGGUCUCAUCGCUGGAGGUGAUGACGCGCUGGUUCUUCCCCCCUUGGCUCUCCCAUGCGCUACCGUGUGCUCCUCUCUCUUCGAUUCAUCAUCCAUGUGCGUGCUUUUGAGGAGCUUUGGUUCCUUGGACAAGGAUAUCAUUCCAACCGUUCUGAAGAUCUUGGUGGUCUUGGGAUGUUCAGGAAGAGAAUAUGGGAAGGAGGCUCUCAACGAGAAGGAGCUUCUCGCUAGACAUCGAGCUGACUGAUGAAAUUCCACUGGAAAAUUUUGUUUCUUCCAGAUGAGACAAAGGUCUCUGAAAUUGGUGAGUUUAUCUUGCGGCUUAUGCUUUUUAUUUUGCUUAUUUAUCUUAUUUUCUCUAUCCAUUCGAAUGGAAGGAGUCAAGAUUCCAUCUUUUGAUUUCCGAGAAGCAUCUAUGAUGCUCACUUGAUAAAAAUCUCAUCUUGCUGAAGCUUCUCUUGACUGUGCACUGAAGUUUUGCAUCUAUUGCUGGUUGUUUGCUUUUGUUUCCACACGUAUGCUGGAGUUUUUUUGUUUCUCUUAUUUUGGAAUCUAUGUUGCAGAAUUAAAUUUGCUUCUCUUCUCAUAAUUUCUUUUUUUGUGACUGAAUGCGUAGUUGAAAGAUAUAUAGACGGCUGGUCAUUAGAAUUAGAAAUAUAGAAAUAUAGAAAUAUACAUUGUAUGUUGCCAUGGAUUAAUUUUUCUGGUUAUUGUAAAAUUUGUAUCAUGUAUGCAAAAUGAAAAUCCAUCCCCCUCAUCCAACUCACAUCAGGUUAUGGAUACUUUUUAAUAUUGAUUAAAUUUAAUUGUCUCCGUGGUUACAAUUGUGGUCAUAGUUACUUUGAAACUAAUCUCUUUUGGAUCAGAGCAAAAUCCUCCUCAUUGGCUUGUCAAAUGGAAAGUAGCAAUUCCAAGAUAGACUACCAGGCAGGGCAGAUUUGUCUUUUUAUGUAAUGCAAGAUUGUCCAAGCUACACCCUAUGCGGAACGUGGUAAACCAUUUGAGUAACAUGCAUUUUGAUGGAAAUGACACUUCUUUUCCAUCUGUGGUGGACGAGCACAACAAUAUACAUCAAAUUUGCUCACCACCUAUUUGAUCAUAAAUUGGGAUCCACAACAAGUAUGCGUGUAUUUCUUGUGACCUCGCACCAAGUUUGUCUACUGAUGUCAUUUGUUCAAAGAGCUUGGUUUGAAUAACCAGACAAAAAUUUAUGGAAGAUGCUUUUGUUAGCUUGUAAUUACUA